rnacentral:rRNA from 1 species
GACGAACGCUGGCGGCGUGCUUAACACAUGCAAGUCGAACGGAAAGGCACUGCUUUUGUGGGGUGCUCGAGUGGCGAACGGGUGAGUAACACGUGAGUAACCUGCCCUAGACUUUGGGAUAACUUCAGGAAACUGGGGCUAAUACCGGAUAGGAGCUCCUGCUGCAUGGUGGGGGGUGGAAAGUUUCGGCGGGUGGGGAUGGACUCGCGGCUUAUCAGCUUGUUGGUGGGGUAGUGGCUUACCAAGGCUUUGACGGGUAGCCGGCCUGAGAGGGUGACCGGCCACAUUGGGACUGCGAUACGGCCCAGACUCCUACGGGAGGCAGCAGUGGGGAAUAUUGCACAAUGGGCGGAAGCCUGAUGCAGCAACGCCGCGUUCGUGAUGACGGCCUUCGGGUUGUAAACCGCUUUCGCCUGUGACGAAGCGUGAGUGACGGUAAUGGGUAAAGAAGCACCGGCUAACUACGUG